rfam:Clostridium disporicum strain 2789STDY5834856 genome assembly, contig: SCcontig000008
AUAAGGUGCUAGGGGUGCCAAUUGGCUGAGAGAUGAUUUUAUCAUUAACCCUUCUUUACCUGAUCUGGGUAAUACCAGCGUAGGGAAGCUAUAUACGGAUUUU